GCGGAAAUGACUGGCAGAAUCCGAGACCAGGGAGAAGAAUCGGUGGAAGAAGACUGGAAAAAGUUUAAAGACUACUUACAGAAAUACUGUAAAAUUAAUGAAUGUUAGAAGAAUGUUGGAAUGAAGUUAUAUGGCUUUAGUAGAAAUGUUAUAAGGAAUUAAGUAUAAAUAGAUUCAUAGAGUAUUAAAGGGAAAAAUAAGGUUAGAAUGUGUUAAGAUAAUUAUAGGAUAGAAAACAGAGGAAGAUGGAAAGGAAUUGCUGAAACAAUUAAUAGAAGUGGAAUACAAAAAGGGAGGUAUGAGGAGGUCGUGGAAAUAAGUGAAAGAAAGAUAAGAUAUUGAAAUUGGACUGUGUUUUAAAUGGUUUUUGUUUUGUUUUGUUAGUUGUAUGUGUUAGUGUUUUGUAGUGUUUUUUGUACUGUAUUGUAUUGUUGUAUGGGGGUUUUUUGGUUUUUUGUAGUGUUGUGUUUAAUUUGUUGGAAAAUUAAUAAAUAUUAUUU